UCUGAGCUGCACCUGCGACCUAGGCCACAGAUUGCUGCAAUACCGGAACCUCAAGCCACUCAGUGAGGCCAGGAAUCACACUUGUACCCUCACAGAGACAACGUCGUGUUCUUAAUCUGCUGAGCCACAACAAGACUAUAUUCCUUUUUGCAGCAUCUAGGAGGAGGCUCUUCACAGAGUGAAUGACUCCCAAAACAAUGUGUAAUUUUUUUCCAAAGAGCGUAUAAGAAUCACACCUUCUCUUUCUCCUGGAAGGAGUACAUGUAACAACCAUUUUCCUAGUUUUUGUAUUUGAUUCUUGAACAUCUUGGGACCUUGUUGAACAGAGAGAAACUGCUCCUCCCAAGUAAUGCAAAGAACACACAAAUGAGUUUUUGUAAUUUAAUACCAGAGAAACUAGUUGUAGUAGAAAUUAUAGAGUGGGUGGCGUACAGAGAUAAGACAGUGGCAGCAAAGAGAUUACAGAUGCACGCGUUCAAAUGUCAGUAUCAUUUGACAUAUUCUCAUCAACUAGAAGGGACCUCGAGUUCAACUAUUUAAAUU